rnacentral:rRNA from 1 species
GCUAGGUGGAAGGAGAGGCGAACGGGUGAGUAAUACAUAAGCAACCUGCCCACGAAGACUGGGAUAAUCCUUGGAAACGAGGACUAAUACCGGGAUAGGUUACGAAUUCGCAUGAAUUUGUAAUUAAAGGUUAGAAACACUGGUGGAUGGGCUUAUGGUGCAUUAGCUAGUUGGUGAGGUAACGGCCCACCAAGGCGAUGAUGCAUAGCCGGGCUGAGAGGCUGAACGGCCACAUUGGGACUGAGACACGGCCCAGACUCCUACGGGAGGCAGCAGUAGGGAAUUUUCGGCAAUGGGGGAAACCCUGACCGAGCAACGCCGCGUGAGUGAUGAAGGUCUUCGGAUUGUAAAGCUCUGUUGUAAGGGAAGAAUGAAUUGGAUAGAAUCCGAUUGUGACGGUACCUUACCAGAAAGCUACGGCUAACUACGUGCCAGCAGCCGCGGUAAUACGUAGGUAGCGAGCGUUAUCCGGAAUUAUUGGGCGUAAAGGGUGCGUAGGCGGCUUGUUAAGUUUAAGGUGAAAGAAUGGGGCUCAACCCCAUAAAGCCUUAGAUACUGGCAAGCUAGAGUACUGGAGAGGGUAGUGGAAUUCCAUGUGUAGCGGUAAAAUGCGUAGAUAUAUGGAGGAACACCGGUGGCGAAGGCGGCUACCUAGACAGAGACUGACGCUGAGGCACGAAAGCGUGGGGAGCAAAUAGGAUUAGAUACCCUAGUAGUCCACGCCGUAAACGAUGAAUGCUAGAUAUCGGGGUAACUCGGUGUCGAAACUAACGCGAUAAGCAUUCCGCCUGUGGAGUAUGCACGCAAGUGUGAAACAUAAAGGAAUUGACGGGGGCCCGCACAAGCGGUGGAGUAUGUGGUUUAAUUCGACGCAACGCGAAGAACCUUACCAGGCCUUGACAUCCCUUGCAAAACUCUAGAGAUAGAGCAGAG